rnacentral:rRNA from 1 species
GACGAACGCUGGCGGCGUGCUUAACACAUGCAAGUCGAACGGAAAGGCCCUGCUUUUGUGGGGUGCUCGAGUGGCGAACGGGUGAGUAACACGCGAGUAACCUGCCCCUGACUUUGGGAUAUCUUUAGGAAACUGGGGCUAAUACCGGAUAGGAUCUCCUGCUGCAUGGUGGGGGUUGGAGAGUUUCGGCGGUUGGGGAUGGACUCGCGGCUUAUCAGCUUGUUGGUGGGGUAGUGGCUGACCAAGGCUUUGACGGGUAGCCGGCCUGAGAGGGGGACCGGCCACAUUGGGACUGAGAUACGGCCCAGACUCCUACGGGAGGCAGCAGUGGAGAGUAUUGCACAGUGGGCGGAAGCCUGAUGCAGCAACGCCGCGUGCGGGAUGACGGCCUUCGGGUUGUAAACCGCUGUCGCCUGUGACGAAGAGUGAGUGACGGUAAUGGGUAAAGAAGCACCGGCUAACUACGUG